rnacentral:lncRNA from 1 species
UGUCUUACAAGUCAUUCCCUUCCUUCCCGUUACUGCAGAAAUUAAAAUAUAAAAUGAUUGCACUUUGCAAAAAAAAUAUUAGAACCUUAGAUUAAAAGCACAUAUAUUGAACUUACAUGAUGUACGGACUAAGGCUGCAUAACAGGACCUCAUUACAAAAUCUUCGAUUAAAAACACAUAAAAAUGGCAAUUAUAAAAUCUAUAAAAUGUUACCUGUAGUGCUUGGCUUUGUAGAUUCUUGGAGCAAUCAACACCAUCUUUAACAGAUUCAGUCACGAUUUUCUUGUUCGAAUAAAGGAACCAAACCUUUCUUCAACCUGAAAUUAUCAUUAUACCAAUAAAAGAACCAAACUUUGCUUCGAUCUGAAAGUAGUGUAAAUUACAAUAAAAGUUGUUGAUAAUCCAACAAGGAGAACAUAC